rnacentral:rRNA from 1 species
AUGGACUGCAACGGUUGCUACAUGUUGAAAUCAAGAAGGAGUAUUGGCGUCGCCGAUGUUGAGUUCGAUGAUCCAGCGGGCGGUAUCACCGAGUUACCUGACUCAAUAGACCUUGCACACAAACAGGAGGUCAGCUGUGUUUGGGAAGCUAAAGUCAGAGAUAAUAUGGAGUCGACGAGCCGAUCCUUUAUCUUGUCCCCCAAGGAUGAUGGCUUCUUUAUUUCCGGAAGUAGUAAGCUGCACGAAUCAACAUCAGCGGAGACAUCUGUGUCUGGGAAAAUGGCGGCAUCUCAGUCGACGAAAGACACAUCUGGAAACAAUGGAACAAGCAAGGUUUCUAGAACAGGUUCAGGGCUUGGCGCAGCCGGCAUGGCCGGGUAUGGGAGAGCAGUGGAAAUUCUAGACACACUAGGCUGCCUGAUGACAACCUUAAGCCCGGAUGGUGGUUUUAUUUCUAGGACGACCAAAGGGACUCAGAUAUCAAUUCUAGCUUUUGAGGUUGCUAACACAAUACUGAAAGGCGCAAGUGUUAUGCAAUCUCUCUCGGAAGACUCUGUCACAUACUUCAAACAGGUGGUGCUUCCUUCUGAAGGCGUGCAGAAUUUGAUUUCCAGUGACAUGGGCGAGUUGAUGCGGAUUGUAGCUAAUGACAGAAGGGAAGAGCUGAAAGUAUUUUCGCAAGAGAUUGUCAGGUUUGGCAACCGUUGUAAAAAUCCUCAAUGGCAUAAUCUGGACCGCUAUUUUGUAAAACUAGAAUCAGAAAGUGUACCCCAGAAGCAGCUGAAAGAAACAGCCACAAUGGAGAUGCAAAAGCUGAUGGCUCUUGUUCAACGUACAACUGAUUUAUAUCAUGAGUUACAUGCCUUGGAUAGAUUUGAGCAAGAUUACCGCUGUCAACUAAAGGGAAGUGGAAGUUCAAAUAAGAUUGAAAAAGGAGAUAACAUUCAAGUUGUGAAACUCGAGUUGAAGACCCAAAGAAGUUACGUGAAGAACUUGAAGAAAAGAUCUCUGUGGUCAAAGACAUUGGAACAAGUUGUUGAGAAGCUUGUUGACAUUGUGCAGUAUUUACAUGUUGAGAUCAAUGUCUCAUAUGGAACUUAUGAUGGAGGUGAACUGAGUUCUGCUGUGAACUGUCAGAGACUAGGACCUGCUGGACUUGCAUUGCACUAUGCAAACACUAUCAUACAGAUCUAUGGCAUUGUUUCUCGGUCAGGGUAUGUACCCGCAAAUUCAAGAGAUGCCCUUUACCAAGGAUUGCCACCAAGGGUCAGGUUGGCUCUACCAAAUAAAUUAAGAAUUUCCUCAAUGCCUCGGGAGCUCACUAUUGAUCAGAUAAGGGUAAUGAUGGAGAGAACUCUGAAAUGGCUUGUUCCGAUGGCCAUCAAUACCACCUGUGCCCGAGGCUUCUUGCGGUUUAGUGAAUGGGCAAAAUCAGGGACCGAGCGGGUUGGAAGAGGACCUGGUCGACCGGACGUGAUCGAGACGCUCUACCACGCCGACAAGGCAAGGACAGAGGCUUACAUACUCGAGUUGGUCGUGUGGCUUCACCACCUUGUCAGCCUGAGCAACCGGACGGCAAAUGUUAAAAAAGCCCAGUCCAUGUAA